rnacentral:lncRNA from 1 species
UAUGUUCGGCAUUCGUCGGUCUCGGGGUUAUCUGCGCAGUAUUUCUCGAGGGGAUCACCCGAUGAUUUCUCGCGGUCGCGCUGGUGCGCGGCUUCAGCAGUCAGCUCCUCGACAUUGUCCCACGCUACAGCGCAUGGAGCAGAAUUGGGGUCCUCUUCACAGGUCAGCUGAGCUUCAGCAAUGGCGCUGGGAAUCUAGGCACAAAAAGUCAAAUUAAAACUAUGCCCAGUCGCUGGAAUUCAGGGAGUAGGAAUCAUAUUAAUAUCAUGAACAUCGCGUGUUCACAAGACAUAAAAAGAUGCAGCCACGACGUCAUAGUGUACCAAACAAAACCGAUACUAAUGCUUAAGACUGGGAGGAGAAAGUAAUUAGCAAAUUUAUACAUCAGAAGGAGAUUAAAAGGUCAUCGUCCCGCAUCACUUAAGACACAAUUCUACAACUCGAUGCUCCCCUAAACCAUGUUAUACAGCAAUCUAAGGGCGCUGCGUAGGUACAACAACCCUACUUAAAUAUCCAAGAAAA